AUUGAACGCUGGCGGCAUGCCUAACACAUGCAAGUCGAACGAGGUUGGCCUCGGCCAGCCUAGUGGCGGACGGGUGAGUAAUGCGUGGGAAUCUGCCUCGUAGUGGGGGAUAACGUAGGGAAACUUACGCUAAUACCGCAUACGCUCUACGGAGGAGGGGGGGGGGAUCUUCGGACCUCUCGCUAUGAGAUGACCCCACGUCUGAUUAGCUAGUUGGUGGGGUAAAGGCCUACCAAGGCGACGAUCAGUAGCCGGCCUGAGAGGGUGUACGGCCACACUGGGACUGAGACACGGCCCACACUCCUACGGGAGGCAGCAGUGGGGAAUAUUGGACAAUGGGCGAAAGCCUGAUCCAGCAAUGCCGCGUGUGUGAAGAAGGCCUGCUGGUUGUAAAGCACUUUAAGUGGGGAAGAAUGGGAUUGCGCUAAUACCGUGAUCCUUUGACGUUACCCACAGAAUAAGCACCGGCUAACUCCGUGCCAGCAGCCGCGGUAAUACGGGAGGGUGCGAGCGUUAAUCGGAAUCGCUGGGCGUAAAGCGCAUGUAGGC
rnacentral:rRNA from 1 species